GACGAACGCUGGCGGCGUGCUUAACACAUGCAAGUCGAACGGAAAGGCCCUGCUUUUGUGGGGUGCUCGAGUGGCGAACGGGUGAGCAACACGUGAGUAACCUGCCCUUGACUUUGGGAUAACUUCAGGAAACUGGGGCUAAUACCGGAUAGGAGCUCCCGCUGCAUGGUGGGGGCUGGAAAGUUUCGGCGGUUGGGGAUGGACUCGCGGCGUAUCAGCUCGUUGGUGGGGUAGUGGCAUACCAUGGCCUUGACGAGUAGCCGGGCUGAGAGGUGGACCGGGCACGUUACGACGGAAAGGGGACCCAGACGAGAACGAGACGGACAGGAGCUGAAUAUUACACAGGGAGAGGAAACUAGGUGUAGCAGUGCAGGGGUGGGGAAGUCGGCCUUCGGGUUGUGAACGGAAGUCGCCUGUGACGAAGCGUGAGUGACGGUACUGGGAAAAGAAGCACCGGCUAACUACGUG
rnacentral:rRNA from 1 species